rnacentral:rRNA from 1 species
UACGUAGGUGGCAAGCGUUGUCCGGAUUUAUUGGGUUUAAAGGGUGCGUAGGCGGUUUUGUAAGUCAGUGGUGAAAUACUCCAGCUUAACUGGAGGGGUGCCAAUGAUACUGCAGAACUUGAGUACAGAUGAGGCAGGCGGAAUUGACGGUGUAGCGGUGAAAUGCAUAGAUAUCGUCAAGAACACCGAUAGCGAAGGCAGCUUACUGGGCUGUAACUGACGCUGAGGCACGAAAGUGUGGGGAUCAAACAGG